rnacentral:rRNA from 1 species
GAUUUCUGGCCUGAAACACUUAGCCGGCCACGGUUUCGUGUGUUAGUGCUUUGUGUUCUGGCCAUCCUUCCAAUCGCUGUUCACUUUUCUUCAUUGAUUGGUGAAUAGUAUUGGAUCUUUUACUUUGAAAAAAUUAGAGUGUUUCAAGCAGGCUUUAUGCUAUGAAUACAUUAGCAUGGAAUAAUAAUUUAGGACUUCGGUUCUAUUUUGUUGGUUUCUAGGACUGAAGUAAUGAUUGAUAGGGAUAGUUGGGGGUGCUAGUAUUCAGCGGCCAGAGGUGAAAUUCUCGGAUUCGCUGAAGACUAACUUAUGCGAAAGCAUU